rnacentral:rRNA from 1 species
UACGUAGGGUGCAAGCGUUAAUCGGAAUUACUGGGCGUAAAGCGUGCGCAGGCGGUUAUGCAAGACAGAGGUGAAAUCCCCGGGCUCAACCUGGGAACUGCCUUUGUGACUGCAUAGCUAGAGUACGGUAGAGGGGGAUGGAAUUCCGCGUGUAGCAGUGAAAUGCGUAGAUAUGCGGAGGAACACCGAUGGCGAAGGCAAUCCCCUGGACCUGCACUGACGCUCAUGCACGAAAGCGUGGGGAGCAAACAGG